GGCAAGUGAUGGUGAAAUAGAAGCCUGAGUGCCUGAAGUUGUAAAACAAAGAGAAUCAAGCAUGAGCUAAGAGUAUAAUUCACAUAGAAACUCCCCUUCAGCUGCUGAGUUCCUCAUCUCGAAGAUGGUGGAAAAUGCUGCAGAGAAAUGGGUAGAACCCUGAAGAAAAUUCAGGAUAGUUUCAUGGUGUUGGGGAUCCGGGGGCAUCAGCAUCAGCUGUGCAUCCAGAAGAUUGCUGGCUUCUUCCCAAAGAGAUGAAAUCUCAUUCUUCUCUCUGUUUUAAUGAAGCUCAUAGAUGCCUCCUUCUCUCAUUUGGUAAACAGCUGAAGUUCCUGGAAAUGGAACAGGAAAUGAGUGGAAGGGUCAGAGGCAAUGGAAAGUUGUGAGCUGGGCAACUUGCUGCUGAAAUAGAAUCACAGAACUGCAGUGGCUGGAAGUGAUCUCCUGAAGCAGGUUCCCUACUGCAGGUUGCACAG